rnacentral:rRNA from 1 species
CCUACGGGUGGCAGCAGUGAGGAAUAUUGGUCAAUGGACGAGAGUCUGAACCAGCCAAGUAGCGUGAAGGAUGACUGCCCUAUGGGUUGUAAACUUCUUUUAUAUGGGAAUAAAACGUUCCACGUGUGGCUUUUUGUAUGUACCAUAUGAAUAAGGAUCGGCUAACUCCGUGCCAGCAGCCGCGGUAAUACGGAGGAUCCGAGCGUUAUCCGGAUUUAUUGGGUUUAAAGGGAGCGUAGGUGGAUUGUUAAGUCAGUUGUGAAAGUUGGCGGUUCAACCGUAAAAUUGCAGGUGAAACUGGCAGUCUUGAGUACAGUAGAGGUGGGCGGAAUUCGUGGUGUAGCGGUGAAAUGCUUAGAUAUCACGAAGAACUCCGAUUGCGAAGGCAGCUUACUGGACUGCAACUGACACUGAGGCUCGAAAGUGUGGGUAUCAAACAGGAUUAGAUACCCGUGUAGUC